AUCGUAACUCCUACGGGAGGCAGCAGUGGGGAAUUUUGGACAAUGGGGGCAACCCUGAUCCAGCAAUGCCGCGUGAGUGAAGAAGGCCUUCGGGUUGUAAAGCUCUUUUGUCAGGGAAGAAACGGUAGUAGCUAAUAUCUAUUACUAAUGACGGUACCUGAAGAAUAAGCACCGGCUAACUACGUGCCAGCAGCCGCGGUAAUACGUAGGGUGCAAGCGUUAAUCGGAAUUACUGGGCGUAAAGCGUGCGCAGGCGGUUGUGUAAGUCAGAUGUGAAAUCCCCGGGCUCAACCUGGGAAUUGCAUUUGAGACUGUAUAGCUAGAGUACGGUAGAGGGGGAUGGAAUUCCGCGUGUAGCAGUGAAAUGCGUAGAUAUGCGGAGGAACACCGAUGGCGAAGGCAAUCCCCUGGACCUGUACUGACGCUCAUGCACGAAAGCGUGGGGAGCAAACAGGAUUAGAUACCCUGGUAGUCCUAGAGC
rnacentral:rRNA from 1 species